AAAAACCUUACCUACCCUUGACAUGUCAGGAAUCCUUGAGAGAUCAGGGAGUGCCCGAAAGGGAGCCUGAACACAGGUGCUGCAUGGCUGUCGUCAGCUCGUGUCGUGAGAUGUUGGGUUAAGUCCCGCAACGAGCGCAACCCUUGUCAUUAGUUGCUACGAAAGAGCACUCUAAUGAGACUGCCGGUGACAAACCGGAGGAAGGUGGGGAUGACGUCAAGUCCUCAUGGCCCUUAUGGGUAGGGCUUCACACGUCAUACAAUGGUACAUACAGAGGGCCGCCAACCCGCGAGGGGGAGCUAAUCCCAGAAAGUGUAUCGUAGUCCGGAUUGUAGUCUGCAACUCGACUACAUGAAGUUGGAAUCGCUAGUAAUCGCGGAUCAGCAUGUCGCGGUGAAUACGUUCCCGGGUCUUGUACACACCGCCCGUCACACCAUGGGAGCGGGUUUUACCAGAAGUAGGUAGCUUAACCGCAAGGAGGGCGCUUACCACGGUAGGAUUCGUGACUGGGGUGAAGUCGUAACAAGGUAGCCGUA
rnacentral:rRNA from 1 species